rnacentral:rRNA from 1 species
AGUGAACGCUGGCGGUAGGCCUAACACAUGCAAGUCGAACGGCAGCACAGUAAGAGCUUGCUCUUACGGGUGGCGAGUGGCGGACGGGUGAGGAAUACAUCGGAAUCUACUUUUUCGUGGGGGAUAACGUAGGGAAACUUACGCUAAUACCGCAUACGACCUACGGGUGAAAGCAGGGGAUCUUCGGACCUUGCGCGAUUGAAUGAGCCGAUGUCGGAUUAGCUAGUUGGCGGGGUAAAGGCCCACCAAGGCGACGAUCCGUAGCUGGUCUGAGAGGAUGGUUCGGCACACUGGGACUGGGGCACGGUCCCGGCCCCUACGGGAGGGCGCAGUGGGGAAUAUUGGACAAUGGGGGCAAGCCUGGUCCAGCCAUACCGCGUGGGUGAAGAAGGCCUUCGGGUUGUAAAGCCCUUUUGUUGGGAAAGAAAAGCAGCAGGUUAAUACCCCGCUGUUCUGACGGUACCCAAAGAAUAAGCACCGGCUAACUUCGUG